CGGCUAGAUAGUACAUCUUUAUUUUUAUUUUUAUUUUCAGUUUGUCUACCAUUGUUUGUAUGGUUAUUCUCUUUCAAGUCAUGACCUCUGGGUCUAGGCUUCACUUUUUAGAGGUUGUGUUGUCCAAUCUUUUUGCCUCGCAAGUUUGGUUUAGCUAGUAUGUUUCAGUGGGUAACUCCAUGUAUUAGGGUAUCGAGUGCCAGUUACGCCCCCUAUUUCGGGGUGUGACAUGAUGCCAUUAUAUAAGAACUAAAUUUCUUUUCGAUUUUGAGAUGUAUUUAAAAGGGAAUGUUCAAUAUUUAAGUUUUUUCCUCUAAGUUUAGAAACAGAGCACUUUUCCUUAUUUUCAAGUUGAGGAUGAAUUGUUGAAGAACUUGAAACCAAGUCGAGUUGACGAGACUUCAAUAUUCAGUCUAAGAUAGUACUGUUUUUACAACUCUAUAAUUUGUGCAGUAGGUAAUUUGAAAAUAACAUUGUGCAUUGCUUAAUUUUAUUAGAAGUUGUCAAAAAUUAAAGAAGAGAAGGAAUUAAAUUUUUGAGUUACAUUCUUGAAACUAAUAAACUCAAUAAAAAAAAAUUCAUUGUGGUUGAAGAAUGGAAACUAGAUUCAAGUUGUGUUGAAAGUUUAGAAUACAAUUAGGUUGUUUCAACUUGUUUUAAGAAAAGUUUUCAUGGCAGUUAGCUAUAGUUACAUGUAGUUGCUAUUAUUGUUUCGGGAUUUCUAUGAAGUAGUGUUAUUAAAUGGGAGUGCUUCGUCACUUAAAGUGAGAAACAAAGAGAAUUCUAUAUUGCUUUUUUGCAAUGAGGCGAGGCUAUGGUGAAAAGGCGAGAGCUUCAAUCCCUGAAGUAAGUCAAAGAUCGUUUCUCUGCUACAACAAGGUCAUACACUCUUAUAUUUGAAAUUUUUGUUGAUGGAAUAUUCCAAUAUGACGUUCAAUUGUGGAAAUUCUUUGAAGACAUUGUUUUUAUUGGAUUGGUUAUGUAGUGAUAUUAGUUAUUUUUUUCAAAUAAUAUAAGUUUAUUUUUGAA